CAGAGUCAGAAUGUUAAAAUCAUUCAUGAUCUAAACAACAAUGAUGUUUUUGAAAUUAUAUUAUGCAAUAUUAUUUAGAAACCUCAAAUAGUUUUAUGGGUUGUAUAAUGAGCAAAAGAAAAAAUCCAGCAUUUUAAAUAUUUUAAGAUUAGAAUGGAAGACAAAGUAUUUGGUGUGAUACUGCUAUUGGGUCUGAAAAGAAUAACACACGUAUUCUGAAAUUAUUCAGCAAGCUGAAGAAUUGUGGAAUGUCAGUGUGGAGGAGACUUAAAACUUUUUCAUUUUAGGACAAGAAAAGGGAAAAUAUAACAUGGAAAUACAAAAGUUAUGCCCGUGGCUAGCCUACCUUUAUGAGCAGUUUCUGUAUCUGUUAACAUUUGACUCUCAAAUUUCCCAGCUGCCAAUUAGCCUGGAGCCUGUUCUGCACCACAGCUGCGAGGGGUCUGGCACACAAGCUCUGCACCCUAUGCUGUGCCAUAGCCUCACUACUUUAGCUGUAAGAAUAAGAAGCUUCUAGCUGGAAUGGACGGACUUGAAGUUAGUGGCUAUGUGUAUUGACAGAUGCUGCAUCCAGACCAUGUGGAGCCCUACUAGAGGCCAUUGAUCAGUUUUCGUUGCCAUUCCCUUGGCUGGAAAGAUGAGCCAUCUCAGAAGCAGAAAUACAGAGAAUCUCAGGACCAGCAAGGAAGAAGAGCCAGCAGUGAAGCACAUUGGAGAUCUCCGAAGUGGCAGAGGCUGAGCUCAGAGGAGGCUGUGUGGCCCAGAGACCAUGGGACAGAGCAAAGGAGCCAGGCCUUGCCCGGAGGCAGAGGCAAGAAUACUGUGGGACAGAACAGAGGAGCAGUGCAGAGAUUGUGAGACAGAGGAUUGGAUAGACUUCCAGGCCCAGGGAGGCAGAGAUCAAGGGAAUUUAUAGGUGAGAGGCUCGGGACUAGCGAGACAGGCAGCUGCCUGCUGAGGAGAGGUGUGGCUGUGGAGGAUAUCAUGUCUUCUGAUCCUAACUUGCAGUAAUAAGCCCCUUUAAUCAUGAGUCUUACUUGUGAAUCCUGUGUGGCCCUUUCAUUAGAAUUUGAACCUGACAGGAAAGUAGAAUUAUAUUGGAGGAACAAUUGGUGUCAGAAUCGAGUAAAAGAGGGAUGAAGGGUGAAGGCCUGUCUGACGACAAUAGAGAAGUCAGAAGAGGUCCGAUACGGCCUCCACACAGCUUUCUCAGCCUUACUAAAUCUGAUAUAAGUGCCUUUGUUUUGCAGAAACUUAGUUCUGGAGAUAGAAGUGAUGUGCCCAAGGUCACACCAAGAGAAGUCAAACUCUGUCUAAAACUCUGUUGAAUGACCUACCGCCUCAUUGUUCAUCACAGCCUGAUGGCUUCUCUUGCUCUUGGGGUAGAAUAACAGAUGUGGAUUUUUGCAUUUUUAGAGUCUUUGGGAGGAGCCCUGGUAGUAUAGUGGGUUAUGUGUAGGGCAGUUAACUGCAAGGCCACUAUUUUGAGUCCACCAGGAGCUUCAUAGGAGAAAGAUGAGGCUUUCUACUCCCAUUCACAGUUACAGUCUUGGAAA